rnacentral:antisense_RNA from 1 species
AUUUUGAGCGCGAACUCGUCCACAGUCCCCCUUUCAG